GCCCCCGUAGCUCAGUUGGAUAGAGCAUCGGUUUCCUAAACCGAGUGCCGCAGGUUCGAUUCCUGCCGGGGGUA
rnacentral:tRNA from 1 species